rnacentral:misc_RNA from 1 species
UCUCAGUUUGCACUGGCAGUCUCGUUAGAGUUCCCGACAUGACUCGCUGGCAACUAGUAGCGAGGGUUGCGCUCGUUGCGGGACUUAACCCAACAUCUCACGACACGAGCUGACGACAGCCAUGCACCACCUGUGAUCCUGCCCCAAAGGGGAAACCCUGUUUCCAGGGCGGUCAGGAACAUGUCAAACCCAGGUAAGGUUCUUCGCGUUGCGUCGAAUUAAACCACAUGCUCCGCUGCUUGUGCGGGCCCCCGUCAAUUCCUUUGAGUUUCAGCCUUGCGGCCGUACUCCCCAGGCGGGGCACUUAAUGCGUUAGCGCCGGCCCUCGGGGGGUCGCUCCCCCAAGCGCCUAGUGCCCAUCGUUUACGGCGUGGACUAC